UACGUAGGUGGCAAGCGUUGUUCGGAAUUAUUGGGCGUAAAGCGCACGUAGGCGGCGGCGUAAGCGGGAUGUGAAAGCCCAGGGCUCAACCCUGGAAGUGCAUCCCGAACUGUGUCGCUUGAAUCUCGGAGGGGGACAGAGAAUUCCCGGUGUAGAGGUGAAAUUCGUAGAUAUCGGGAGGAAUACCAGUGGCGAAGGCGCUGUCCUGGACGAAGAUUGACGCUGAGGUGCGAAAAGCGUGGGGAGCAAACAGGG
rnacentral:rRNA from 1 species